GUGGGACCUCACAGGGCUCCAUUUGGAUCUGUUUUCCAGGAAGUCUGCCUAGUUUUCAUGCUCAUUAACACUGCAGUCUCCCAGACCUUCAUGAUACUCAGGAUAAUUAAUUCCCAAGAGAGUUGCCUUCAUGCAUUAAGGAGGAAACUUUGAGCUCUUAAGAGCAAGACACCCAUGGCCUUCAGACUUCCAAAAGAACUGGACCAAAACAGUGGCUUAAUACAUACAAAUAUUUGUGGGAGAAGGAAAGGGGACCAAAUACCUGCUGGCACAUUGGCAGACACCAAACAUACCUCAAUAUACUGCAAAG